GUGGUGCCGCGCGGCGAGCGGCGGCAGGAGCGGCCGCGACUCCAUCCGGGUCUCGGCGCGGUUGCGGGUCACCCUGCGGCAGGUAACGGGCGCGGCCCUGGCUCCGCGCGGGCGGGCGGUGAGCUGCGGGCAGCCCGGGCUCGGACACGGCGGGAGGAGGAAGAGAAGGAGGGAACUGGACCUCAUCCCGCUGCGGGCCCGCCCCGACCCCUCUGCUCGCCGCGCGGCCCCGAGAACUAACUUGAAGGUCCGGAAGUGCCGCCCCCGAGCGCUCCUGAUUGGCGGCCCGGCCGCGCCGCCCGCCGGGGAUAGGCUGCGGAUGCCGUCAGCGCCGGGGUACGUCACUUCCGCUAGCAAGUGUGUGGGCCGCGGAGACCUUGGCCUCGGGGGGGCCCGGGCCGUGCGGGGAGCGGGCGGUCGGGGCCCGGCGCGCUCAGGGGAGGCGGCUCAGGGCUGCAGUGCGCCGCGGGCAACGUUCCUCAAGCGGCGGGAAGGGGCGCGUGGCCAUACGGCAGCCACAUGGCGGCGGAACUCCUCGGUCGGGUCAGGGCGGAACGGCGGCCGACCCCGCGCUGGUAGUGGGCUUACAGAGCCUAACCGCGCCGCGGGCCGGGGGGAGACGCGGCACCCUGCCCGGCCAGUGGGCCUCACUGCUGGGUUGGGAGUGGGGACUCAGCCCGGUGCGGGAGGUUACGUUCAGCCCCGUUGAUAGAUCUGCCUUCUGCACAUCUUUUGUGCCUCUCUUUAAUCGCACUGUUAACGGGCAGCUGUCUGCAUAACAAAAGCAGUAGUGGAGAAACUGCCUCACUUCAAACACACACAGUGGUCCUGCUGAAUGGUACCUGACAGCGUGGGGUCAAUGCCAGUGCAUAUCUGAACCUGGGAAAAUGGGUCUGUCAGAACCCAUAAUGUUUCUUAGCAAUAUUUAACGAGUAGGGUGUCCAUCCCACUCUCCAAGUAGGUGAGCAGCUCCCAGGGCCCCAUGCCCCAUGUGGCACUGCUGUGGGACAGCCGCAGCUCCCUGGGCUCAUUGCAGCUGCCGCUCCAACCCCUGCAGCCUUUCUCCAGUACUCAGCUUUCAAGAGGAGGUUUAAUAACUUUUUUUUGGCCCUAUAGUAGCUGUCUUCGUGAAAAGGACCUUAUUAAUUAGCGGUAUUGGGGUUGAUAUUUUUAUAAAUCUGUUCACCAAAUAUCUUAAAAUGCAAAAGUGAUGCAUAUGGUCAUACUAGGAAUUUGCUUUACAUAAGAUCAGAGACUUGGCAGAAGGAAACAGACACAUCAUCCCAUUACUUUGUCUAUUACUACUACCAAGCAGUAUCCUUAUUUUCACUUUCCUUUGGAUAAAUGCCUUCUGUAUUUUCCUCUGUUGGCAGUGGAAGCAUCAUUUCAUUUGCAGUUAAAAGGCUCCCGUGAUCUAUAGGAAGCAACAGAUGUCAAAUUGUUUUGUCAGUUAAUAACACAACACUGCAUUGCUGGAAAUGUUCUGAUGUGUACUAACUUGAAUGUUUGCUGAAUUGGUGUAAUUAUUAGUUAUGUUAACGUGCAACCUUUAUGCAAAACAAGCUGCCUGUAACAUGCUGUUAAUAGAUGAGAGGGCUCUCUUAAUUGCUGUUCCGUGGAGAAAAACAACCAUUACUAAAUGUUUUGGUAAGUUCAAAUGUUGCCAAUAAGUAUCAGUCAGUUUUCGUCUUCAAAAAACAAUCCUAUAUUUCUUCCACUUUUCCUUUCAGUUAUCUGCAUUUUGAUAAACUGACUGAGGUUGCUGGAACAAAAGCAUUGCCUGCUUACUAAUGUGGCAUGUCCUAAGAGGCACUGAUCUGGUGAAUAAAUACAUGUGCGUUUAUUGGUAAAUAAAAUGCACAUUCCUGUUUGAAGCAGGAUCAGACAACUGGAGUGAUGGUUUCUAUUGCCAUAUGGUUCUCAAUGCGUUUCGCAUUUGGAGCCGUAGCUAAACUGCAGUAUGCUCAUAUCCAUGUUUCUGCUGCCAGCGUACUGAUUGACAAACGUAGUAUUCAAAAGGAUUUGUGAAAAUAAGACAUCACAGUGCAGUUGUUUCCCUUACUCCACUGCGUUACCUCAUGUUGCUCAGUCUCCUGCCAGAUCUGUACCCUACUGUAUGCUACAUCCUUAGUGUACGCUGAAUCUGAAAGAUGAAAACCUGAUUUUUCUGUCAUGUCACAGAAUCUUGCAUUCACAUCUGCAGAAGAUGAGUUCAGACUGCACAUUACACAGUUUUCUGUUGCAUUUUCAGUAUACUCCCAACAUCAUUUACACAGAUCUGUGAGUCUUUGCGUGCAGGUAUACGCACCCAUAAAGUAUUUGUAAAAGCUUAGAAGCCUCAGGAGACUUUUCUUUCCAUUCUGCUUUGUUAAGUGAAAUAGUGCAGGUGUUUUGCUCUGUUGUAGUCAUGCAGUAGGAAAUAAGAAACCCUGGCUUCUGCUCUUCAGCACUUAAUUAUGCACUGAUUUUGACACUCUGCAUGGUCGUCUUCUUUUUCCUCCUUUUUUUUGGUUUCUAUCAAACACCAAACAGUUUAAAAAACAACACCAGGAAUCUCACUGGAGCAGUGUUGGGUUUAUGGGCAUAACAAGAGGCAAUUUCUAAACGAUAAGUAACUGAAAUGCAUCAAUAGGGCUUAGUUUUGAAUAGCAGAGAAGGGGUUAAAUUUAGAAUAGAAUACGUAGCAUUCAUCUGUGUAGUUUGCUUUGAGAACUAAAGAAUGAAUGCUCACUUAGAUGCAGAUAGUUUAAUAUUAACGUGAAAACUGAGUACAUGCAGAGGAAGUUGCUCCAAUUUGCAUUCCUGUCAUUCUUUGCUCACGUUCAAAAUUAUUAAUCAUGAUCACAUACUUUACUUUUCUGCAGGAGAUGUGCUUCAUUCCAUGCAUGAGUGGGCAGUAGUGACUCCUAAUUUCUUUCAAGCCGUGUUUCUGGAGAUUUAUAUUCCUUCUGUAACGACGUGGUCAGAAAAAUAAAUGAAAAUCAAACAUAAUAACUGCAAAUGGAACAAACCAGUAAUAUUUCACGUUAUAAUUAGUCGAAACCAGGCUGCUUUAUCUUAAAGCAAUUACAUGUAAGUGGGAUGUAGGUUUUUGGAAAAAGCUUGGCAUUUCUGGCAGAGACACGAGAUAAAGGCAUCGCUGAUGACACUCAGAGGUAUUAAUGUAGUGGACACUCAGCCCUGCCAGCUGCAUGCAUUUCGGUGCUGCUCAUAUUUGGAGUUAAAGCCUAUCUGUGAUUUGUAUGGCGCGCACUUUUACACUUACUCCAAUGUAUUGCUGCUAAAUUGACUACAGUGUCCAAAUAAAUACUAAAAAUUAGAUACAUACAUACCAAAUAAAUACUAAUAAUACUAAGUUUUAAGGUUUUGGGCUUAAGCAGAUGACUCUUAGAAAGGCUUCUGGCCUUCAUCACCACAUCUUAUGUUCUAAUUAAAGCAUGUUUGCUUUCUUGCAUGGGGCCUAUUUUCACUGUAGGUGAAUUUGUUUGGCACAAAGGAAAAAAAGAAACUCAUCUGGUUUAGUCCUAACCAUCACACACGAUUUUUGUUUGUUUUAACCUUAAAGCUUCAUCUUUUCUGCUGUACUUAAUUUUAUCCACUGAGAUUUUUAAAGUUGAAUUUAAACAUGAGAGUGAAAUAGUCUUUGGUAACAAGCUGUUUACAAAUGGUUGCCAAAUGGUCUUUUUGUUGAAGGAUGUACUGCAGCAUUAUAUACCUCAAAUUGAUGCAUCUGUUUAUCUCCACACCACGUAACAACAGAUGUCAGUAAAGCACAGUUAGGAUAAGAAGUGUUGCUUCUACAAACACCCUUUCAGCUUCGGGUUAUUAAUUCUGUGCUGCAAAAUUGACAAAAUCAAGUGGGAGGAUAAAACAUCCAUCUUUUAGGGUCACACUGAAACAAAAUGGGACUUUGAUUACUUUCACAAAGUCACAUUUUGUCCCUUCCACGCUGUAAGGGUGGCUUGAGCUAUUUUUCCUUCUGUUUCACAGGUUACAGACUGAUUAAGAAUGCUGGUGGUGUACUGUGUGCUACUAAAUGAGAACGUGUAAACGCCAGCAGUUUUUUUCCCUAUACAGUUUAGAACUGUUUCAGAGGUUUCAAAUACAUACAGUAGCUCAGGAAACUCAUGGGAAGCACUCUUCAGAAAGGCAGCGCCUCUUUAGGUUCUACUUUGUCACUUCUCUUGGAUGCUCAGUAGGAAUGAGGCUCCAUCAAGAUGAGCACAGUAUUAAAGGAAAGUACAAUCCAAAACUGAAUUGAGAAUAGAAAGAGUUCUUAACUCACACUGACUAAAGCUUUUGUUUCAGUAAUUACGUGAUCUUAGACUCUUCUGGAAGGAGUGAUGAGAUAUGGACGUAGUGUGUGACAGCAGUAUAGGGGCAGCCGAGGGGAAGCAACGUGGAGGAUAAUUAAGUUUGCAUCAAUCACAGUGUUGUGCCUGCAAUCCCCCAACACCCCCAGUCAAAAAAAAAAGCAAGUUUGCAGGUCUGCACGUACUCACUGUGGAAGGUGGGUGUGUGGGGUCUUCACAGGGGGCUGGAGGAGGUGGCAGAAAUUCCCUCACCAAAAGUGGCAGUGGGAGUCCAAGUACAGCUCCAGUGCAGGUGACGCUACUGAAAUUCUGGGGCAGAAGCAUCAGAAGUUGGUGUUAGUGCUUGCAAUGUGAAUGCUAGAGCUCCACCGUGUGGUUACAGCUGUGCACUGUGCACAGGCUGGGCCCUCAGCCCCGGGCUGCAGUGGCCAGAUCAAUGGAGGAAAUAUUGGCAGUGAACUCGGGCAGCUUCAUUCGAUGCUCCACGAUAGCUGCACAAUUACAGUGCCAUUUGCUUCACUUCUACUGCUUUGCAGAUUUUUAAAUACAGGCAAUGUGGUGACUGGAAAAAACUACUUUGAACACAGCAGUUGAUAAGGAAAACAAAUGCAUAUUUCUUAAAACACAAAAAAUCAUGAAGUCUGUACUGCUAAAGCACUGAGCGUGCUGGUGGUGGCACAAACAGCUGUGCUGUACUCAGGCAGGAUAUCACCAGCAUGGUGACUUCGGUGCAAGGAUGUAUGCCAUAGCAGAUUCACACACAGCUGAGAAGAUACCAAAUGAGGGAGGCUGUGCCAGGAGUAUAAUUUAUCAGGCAUGCGGUACAUCAAGCUUCUCUGCCCAGGUGUGCCAGGAAUGCGUAAUGUGUAACAUCAGGGAAGCCUGGCAGAGCUCAUUCCUUGAAAGGACAAUGCAACUUAGGUGAGACUGUUUUUAGAAGCUGUUAGAAAUAACCAUUACCUGCAGAACUGGUGUGAAGCACAGCACUGCUGGGCUAGGCUUUGUAUGAAUGUCACACAACGCCUUCAAGAGACAGCUUGGGCUAGGAUUUUUGAUUCUUUUACUUCUAUACCUUUCUAUUAUUAAACAGAAUAAUAAAAAAGAUAGUAAGUACCUACCAGAGUAAUGUACCAUCAAUAAAACUGCUUUUCUUCUGUAGCUAAAAAGCAGGAUACGUGAUGAUCUCUCCCAAGGUGUAUUUGUUGCAGAAUGAGGUUUUCCUGGUGCCCUGUGUGCACUUCACCAUCGAUCUCAAGCCAGACUGUUGCAUAGAACCACAAGGUAACAAUUGGAUGUCAUUCAAAAUAUUUUUUCAAGGACAUUUUUGACCUUAAGUAAGAGAGAGCCCUUCCAGACCUGUAAUAGAUGAAAGGCUCAUGUUUCUGGAAACCAAAAGCAGACAAAUGCUUCAGGAGCUGCACGUACCUAACAGGAAAGUCUCACGGUGGCAGUAGAAAAUAGGUUAGAAUUUCCUGUAACAGAACUUAAUUGAGAAGUCCUCCUGUCAGUAGCAAUAAUAACAUUAAAAGCUGUUUAGGCUUUUAGUUCACGCCAUCUAGGGGUGGCAAAAUGCUACAGAUUAGAAUCUGUUCUGUAAUCUUAGCGUCCUCCUGGGUUCAUUUUAAAACAGGAAACUCAAAAGUAUCCUAUGUAUUUUAUAAGUUUUACAUUCUUUUAAGUACCUCUUUUUUUUUGUACAGUAACAUCUAUUUAGUUUUUCCAAAGCACUUAAAACAUUUUCAGCACAUUGGAGAAGCAGCAGCUUCAUCUUAAAGAUCGACCUGAAUUGAAAUGUCUUGGACUUCAUGGAUAAAUGACAAACUGAAAACAGCAAGCCAGCGCUCUCUGUAGCAAGGCUGGCUGGGCAGAGGCUCAGCAGUGCCUCUCCCAUGGAGGAAUGGGCUCCUUGCAUGAACUCUGCUCAGCUGGGGAAGGUUGGCAUGUAGGAAUAAGGAACUGUGAAAGGACUGUCAGCAUCCUUACCAAAUAUUUGCUUGACAGCAGGAUGGCUAACUGAGCUAAUUCAAAGGAUGCGAUACGUGCCAGUGCUUCCCUGUCAUUUGCCUUUGUCCCAGUGCUACUGUUGUAAUUUAUUUGUGUUUUGUAGGACCAACUGCUUAUGUCCAUCUGUGCAUGCUAAAGCACACAUUCUGAUCUGUGAGUGGUUACAAGCAAGACUUUAAGUGUGAUUCACCAAAAUUUGUCAUCAAUAUUUGUACAAAGGAUUCUGGAGUAAAGCUCUGAGGGGGCUGGAGAGUACUUCUAUUUUUUUCUCUGUUCAAGGAAUAACGUCAUCCCUUUGUAUAUUAAUGCAUUGGAUCACGCGUUGUGUUUUUUGGCAAGGACAUUAACAUGCAUUAGGAGCUCUUGUUCUAUCAAGGCUUUGUUUGAUGACUGGUCUGAAAACCUCAGCUCAGAAUUGGGAUGAAGUAUGAGUACAACGUGUAUUUAACGUUUGAAAAUCUGUGCAUUUCCGUAAACACUUUCAGCUAUCUUAUAAAUUACAUUGAUAAAAUGAUGAGUUUUCCUCUUCAGCUCUGUUCUCAAGACGUCCUUGCUAAGAAGGGGACUGUAAGUCACAUCAGUCUGGCAAGUAUUUUGAUUUCAAUAUUGUUAGACUUUUUAGCUUGAGGUCAUGUUGAGCUCUGGUAACAUAGAAAUCAGCUUUAAAGCUCUAUCAGGAGCAGUCAGAGGAGCCCAGUUGUUUCUGAUCUAAAGGCAAUGUAUAUUUUAAGUGGCCUUUUGGUAAGGCAGUUUAACAAUUAAUGUCGUAUUAUAAGACCUUAAUAAGUUUAUUUUUAAUAAUGUUUUUAAAAUAGUGAUUAAGUAGAAUAAAAAACAGUGAUUUCUUAAGAAUUAUAAAUAUUAGGGUCUUAUACUGAUCCAUGUAAAUCAGCUGCAUGGUUAUGGUCCUAGAUUUUAUUACUAUUAACUUCUGAAGAAAUGCAGAUCUGCAUAUGAUGUUUCUCAUGGACAUUUUCUUACAAUUUCAGAUAAGAGAUGACAUCUGUGGAACGCUAAUAGUAUUUUUCCUGUAACAGACAAGUUUAAUGACUACAGUUGCUAUGACUGCUGCAGCUUGCUAACUGUCUAAAGGUUAAAUACAUUAAGACCCAAACAGUUGGUAAACUUUUGAAACGAAGGAAUCUUAUCCUUACAGUAACAUCAUUGCAUGAGUGGAGAGAGAUGGGAAUGUUUUUUUCCUGUGACCAGCAUAGCACACUGUAAGUGCCUGCAGUUAGCUUAAGCUGUCUUUAUUAAAGCACCAUUCUUUGGACAUCACCUCUGAAGAUGCCUGCACUGUGGGAUGAGGUAGUAGGUUGUAUAGUUUUAGGGUCAUACCCGCAACUGGGAGAUAACUAUACAAUCUACUGUCUUUCCUAAAGCAGCAGAAAAUCAACAACGGAGACCGUUCAGUUUUAAGCACAGUGUCAGAUUGUCCCAAACUUCUGUACUCGGAGUGUUUAUUAUAGCAGGCAAAUAUUUCUGCAACGCCUACAGGUAAUUACUUCUGGAUUUUUUCUAAUUCUCUACAUUAAUUUAUCUUCUCUAAGGAUAACACGUAAGAACAGAUUGAUUCCUUUAAGGUGGGGUAAUCGAAUACAAACGGUUGAUGUUCUAAUAAGUUGUGUUAACACUGCUAACUGAAGCAUCAAAUAUUAAUACUCGAGAAUGAGACUGUGGUUAGCUACUUCAGCAAAGAGCUUAAGUACAUGCUUCUCUGUCAGAGUGAGGUAGUAGAUUGUAUAGUUGUAGGGUAGUUAUUUUACCCUGUUCAGGAGAUAACUAUACAAUCUAUUGCCUUCCCUGAGGAGUAAAACAAACUGCGGUCCUUUGCUGUUGUUUGUUUCCACAUUGAGUAAAAGUUUACUUGUCAGAUAAGUUUAGGGUUGGAGAGUGUCACAUUAAUCCUGUAAAUUCUGUCCUUAAUUAACGAUCAGUUUGAAUGGUGCAAAUCCCAAACCUUAUGGAACUAAUACAACUUUUCUUUCAAGGUGAGUGGCACAGCACUGUCUGGACAUCAACAAUGCAUCUCUUAUAGAUACAGAACUGAAUACACCAUAGACUGGAAAUCAUUCUAAAACGAUUUGGUUUUGAACCUAAAAGUAGUCUUGGCUCAAGCUUAUACAUGGUGACAUAAACUGUUUUAAUUUCUGUAAUACAUUAACAUUCCAUCACUGUUCUGUAGAAGCUGGGAGACUUACAGUCAUACUUCAUUAAUACGCCUGCUUAUUUUUCUCUAGCUCUUCUAGCCAGAGAGACUUAAACAAUGUAAUACAAAGAUUAAAGUGUUGAAUGGCCAAAAUUGAUCCCUUCAACUGUUUAGGAGAAUGUAAAGCUAUGAAAUUUGAGUGCUCAAGAUCCAGAAUUGUAACUUCUGUCUGAAGAGGUUACUGAUUUUAUAAGAAGGCAUUUAAAGAUUGUGUUCUUUAUACCCCAUUAGCGCUAGGUGUACCCCCAUCUAGCUGCUUCUGCCCUAGGGUGACCACCUAACAUCUUCCUAUAACAACAAGGAACAAAAAGCAUGAAAACAUUCUGAUGACUGAAAGUUUAGCGUAGUAAGAGUGAAAAUGGAGCCAUUAAUGAGUACUUAAGCCAGGAGUGUUACUGGUUAACCACUUAUUAAACAGUGCUAACUGUAAACUUCUAGUACAUGCCCUGGCCUAAAAAUGCAGAAGACCAAAAGCAGCUGGUAAGCUAAGCUGGCUUCACAGAGCAGCUGCUAAGCAAGAAGAACUGCAGAAAGGAAGCAUUGGGCUCCUAGGAAGAGGUAGUGGGUUGCAUAGUUUUAGGGCAGGGAUUUUGCUCACAAGGAGGUAACUAUACAACCUGCUGCCUUUCUUAGGGCUUUAUUAUAACACCAGGACCAUUUUGGCUCCAUCCUAACCUCUGCAGCUUUGGUAUGUGAAGAGAAGUGAAGCUGUUUCUAAGCAUAUUGAGGUUUAAUGAAACUGGUGUCUCAGCAAAUUUGGUACAGACUUGAGCAUAGUACUAUUAACUGGAAUUUGGUAUUGUGAAAUGCUGCAUUUCAGGGCACACAUGUCAUUUUGUUGACAUUGGUGUUGUGAUAACUUACAAAGAUACUGAAGAAAAAUUCCAAGAGUAAGAUCAGAUUCCCUACAAUUAGGAUGGAGGUGUUACAUACUUCUUAACGUUCAGUUAAGUACUAAUGCUACAUACUUACAAACAGGCGGCUAUAAUGCACCUUCCUUUGGCUUUGUGAAGUUUCCAAGGAUCAACUUAAAACUCACCUGAAAGCUGGUGGGUUCCUGCAGGCAGGAAUAGGUUCUCCCAAAAAGUCAUGCUCUGUCAUGGAAUACUUGCAGUCCUACAGGAGCAUUUUCAAAGUGAAUGACUGCACAUCUGCUGUGGGGUUGUAUGUUGAGAAGUAGAUAAUCCUUUCAUGUAAUUACAGUGCAGUACCACCAUUGUUCUGGUAGGGCUUCAUCCAGAUGUGCUCUGCUGUGGGAUACAGAGACCCUUAACUGCUGAUCAACUUGGAAGAUUAAUGCUUUAUGCUUACAGCAGCCAGUUUUUAGAGUUCUGGCAAGACAGAAUCCUAGAUAUUAUAAACAUACUUAGUAUGUUAAUGGAAAUUGUCUAUUCAUUGAAGUGUACACACUUGAUUUACUCAAUAAAAGAAUUUUAUGCAACUCCUAUGGUGAAUUGACUUUACUUUCUACAAAAUAAGGAAGUGAAUUUUACAGGAAAACACCGCUCAGACUACUGAAGUGAAAUCAAGACCAUAUUAAAAGAAGUUUUAACAGUAAUUAGUGUAAAAAAUCCCACUGUAAAUUGUGAUUUUUGAUAUGAGACAUCACUGAUGGGAGACGAGGGGAAUCCUUACUUACAACUUUACUGUUGAAUGCAUAGGAAUUCUGCUUACUCCAGAGCUGUUAUCUGAGCAUAAGUUCUAAUUGUUGCUCACGAACGUAGACUUUUGAGAAGGUGAGCUCUUCUCUUGACUACACCUUGAUUUUUGCAUACAGUUGGUAAGGCAUCAGCAGGUACUAUUUAGGGAGGGAAAUGGAUACCCUGAAGUUUCAGUUUUUGCAGUAUUAAAACGCCUUAAAAGCUUCAGCACACUGAACACUGAUCUGUGUAUAAGGUGUAUGCUUAUGAAAGACUUAAAUAAUCAAAUCAGUGCUAGCAACUGCAACACUGCAUGCUAUGUUAUUAAAGCCUGUGUUAGGGAAGAACUAUAACUAGAUGAAAACCAGCAGCUACAUAGGCCUGUUAAUGUUCAGUUUGGUAUAAUAUGCAAGUUUUAGGCUUGAUGUGCACAUAUCUGUCCUGUGAAUAUAACAUUUCAUGUUACUGUCAGUGCUGCUGGCUCUCUUUUAACAGUAUACGUUUGAAGACAAAAAGUACACGUAGCUUUUAAUUUAUUAGUUUGACUGAAGUUGUAAACAUCUCAACAUUGAAAAAAGGCACCUGAUCAGAAAAUGUUAAAAACAGAACCCCUCUUCAUGGACUCCCAAGUGCUAUUUAGGUAAAAGUACCUGAAUUUUGGGAUUAGUAUCUCCAUAUGCUUUCAGUGUACUGUAAGCAGAUGGUGGAAAGAGAUACUGCCAUGUCAUAUACGGUCCCUCUUAUAUAACAUAAGCAGCCUUAAGGAAGGCAGCUAAUACUCAGUUCAUCAUUAUUCUUUUAAAACAGUUCAUUAGUUCUUGAUUUAAGGAUGCUAACCCCUGCCCCUCAUCUGCUCAGUAGGGGCUGUCUCACCCACGGCAGGUGCAGGCAUUUCCUCCAUUGUAAUUCGAAGCAGCUUGACUAAGUGACAAGGCUUGAACUAGAAAGGAAUUACGCUGUGGUUCAGCUCUCAUGUAACAAUCAGAUUAUUUCUUACCUUGAUGAUCUGCAGGUUCCACCCUGUAAAUGGUAUCUGCUUAGCAGAGCACAUGAUUUGUUUGCCUUUUUCCACAUGGAUAUCCAGUGAGGGGUCCAAGGAUGAGGUGGUAGUGCAGAAAGAAUCCUUCCGCUCAAGAAACAGUAGCUAAAGAAUGCAUAGCAAACAGCAGAAAAGUCUGCAGUAACAGUAGAGACAUGUUUACCACCCAUACCGAAGCAGUUUUGUCAUGGUGGUCUUGGAAACAUUCCAGUAGAGCUCUGAAAAUAGAAUAUAGCUGCUGUGGUGAUCCACAUCCCAGGAGAAUUGUUUGUGUUCCCUGCCUCUCCAUGCAGGAAGGUGAGCUUGGACAUCUUCCUGGUAGAAUGCAACCCGACACCUGCUGAGAUUUUCUAUACCAGAAAACAUGACUAGCAAACACUUUCAUUUCUAGAGAGACUUUGGGCACUUAGUGCCACAUUCACAGCCUAUGUACUUAAUGCAUUAAGAGUUACAGUUGCUGUGCUGCCUUACAGACGUAGGAUUGGGGCAGACACCAUAUUAAAAUAGUGUUGCCACAAGAAUUACUGAGAUUUCUGCAUAGCUUUUAGAUAACAAAGCUCCUAAGGAGCAUAUUCCACCAUACGAUAGUCUUACUAUAGCUUGAAAGGUGUUCUCUGCUAGUUUGUGUGGCUGGCAAAGGUUUACAUACUUAACCAUUGGUUUUCCUUUGUGCUUCUGUAUUUGACCUCCUUCCAACCAGAGGGAACAGAUGCAAGGAAAAACCUUUACAGAGAGAUGUUAGCAACUUGCACUUAGAACUACCAUAUCAUUUAUAUUUAGAUUCCUGGACUGCUUGAUCCAGUCAUUUGCAAUGCCAUGUCAUCCUUACACCAAAAAGCAGCUCUUGCUGCCUUUGGGCAAGCAGCAGGCUGGACUCAGUAAUAGGUGCAUACAGGUAGUCCAUCAUCUCUUGGAUUUACCAAGCAGUCUGUGUAAAAUACCUGAGAUAUACAUAUAUAUCAGUGUAUUUCAGACAUCCUCUUUUUUUUUCCCAUAUAUAUGUAUGGAUAUAUAUCCCUCAUAUAUAUAUAUAUAUAUAUAUAUAUAUAUAUAUAUAUGUCUGAAAUACACUGAUUGAAACAGACAAGUAUGCCAAGUUCAACUGAAUAUUAGUGGGUUCAGCUGGAACUCCCAAACCAUGUCACUCAGCUCCAGAAGCAUCAGUGCCAGGUGUGGCUUUCAGACCUCUGCUAAGGUUUAAGGGCCCCAGCAGACGAUACAGCUGGAUUCAGUCCAGAAAGCAGAUUUCAUUUAACAAUCUGUUGUGUAUUUUAUGAAGUCAUCUGUGAAGACGAGUUGUGACAGGAACUACUGGAAGCAUCAGAUGGCAGUGCAUGUUUUGUUGCAAUACAAUAAAUGAGAUUUGUUCUUACUGCAUGUACAGUGUUACUGGAAUUUUGUUUUUUGACAGUUAAACCCGCAACAUGAAGAGAGCUCAUACACAUCAGAAAUAAGAUGCUGCUAUUUUGAAGAUUACUGAAAUACAAAGUUGUUACAAGUCAUACUGCUUCUAAGGAUUGUAUUUUGAGGAAUCAAAAUGGUCCUAUCUGAUAUAGAACUUAACUGAAAAAAAAAAAUACUGCUUCUGGCACUGAAACCUUUAUAUAUAAUUGAGCUGAUUAUUUAAACAAUAAAACCAGAGCAGAGAAGGAUCAAAGUUGCAAUUGCAAAUCCCAGUUCUAUCAAGGGAGUUCACAUCGCCUUACACUUAAUGUAACGCAAUGGAAAGCACAGCAGCAGCACCACAGUAGCAAAGUCCUAGGCUGUAACAACUAAGCACAUGACCAAAUGUCACAGCUGUAGACACAGAAACAAAGAAAAGACUCUGCUUACCUACAGAAAGCCUGAGGUAGACAGGAACCUCCAGCAAGAUACCCUUGCCUCCACUGCCAAGCCUUAAAUGACCUCCGGGAAGAGGUGGAUCCUGGCUCCAUCCCUUCCAGUCACUCAGGUGCACUGCAUUGCAUUGCAUACACCUGAGCUUCCCUGGGUUGGUCCUGCCUUCCCACCAGGUGCUCAAUCACUGGUUCAGGCUGUGACAGCAUUUCUGCUACACUUACCUUUUUGCAUUGCCUUAAGAAUUUAUUACUCCCUUCAGUAGAGUACCUUUGGAGAUGUAUGUCAUCAGUAGGUGAAAGAGCACUGCGUUGAUCCCAGCAGCCUGCAAUGCUGUAACACACGAAGCCUGAUGCACAACUGGAACCUUCUGUGGCUCUUGCAGAGCUGCCUAAAAUGAGGAAGGAUGAGUGCAGAGAAGCAGAGGGAUGAAGAAGAAAGAGACGUAGUAUGAACUUCCCAGUAAAAAGAAGUUUCAAAACAAUGUCAAAUAGUACUUUUUCGACUGACUUUCUUCUCAUUUAAGCUGUGAUUGAUGCUUCUAAGACCUGGUCCAUAAAACUGAAGUGCACCUUACACCAAAAUAAGUACAAAGACUUUCCCUGAUACAUUACCUUUUAUUUUUCUUUUUAAUAAAAAGGAUGUGAAGCUGGUUUUAGGGGUUGAUGUAAUGCCACCCUGGUUAUUACUUCAUCAGCUGGCAUAUGCUACCUAAAUUGCUGUAUAAUUUAUGCAGCAAUGAAACAGGUGAUGCACAGCUGCUGAAGCCAGUGCACAGAAAGAUAGCACAGGACAGUCUUCCCUCAGUUCAUGUUUUGAACAAAUGCACUAUCCCUCCAUUUCCCUUUGCUGAGUCAAGUUAAAAGCAGCUACUGUGGAGAGUAUAGGAGAUCCCGCAGUUAAUGCUACCACUGCAAAGCAAACAAGCAAAGUCAACAUGUCUGAGUAGUCUCUUUCUGUUGCAGUGGUGGUGGCAGUGAUCAGAACAGUAUUUCUGCUGUUCAGACCAUCUCCACUUCAGCACUGAUGGUGCAGUAACACUGGAGAUGCCGUUCUGAUACAAUAGUUUUGCACCAAUUGGUGUAUUCUACUGCUGAUACUUUCAAUAAGUGAAAUAGGAAGACAGAACUUUAUCAGAGCAAUGGCAAAACAAAACACUAAGGUAAGGUAAUUAAAACAGUCGGAGCGCUAGACAUGAGAAUAAGUAAUGAAUAAAUAAAUACAGCAUGAAAUAACUAGAGUAGAUGAGUAUCUGAAGGGUGCAAAAGCAAGGAACACAUUAAUAGCAUAGUUAGGAUGCUAUUACAAAAGUUCCAUCUAAACUUUGGCUACAGACGUUUCAGCACUGAAGUGCAUAAAGCUCUGUGCUUUGCAUGGAUGAACUGCCAGCAGCGAGCUUUGGAAGGCUGUCCUUUGACAGGAGCAGACAUCUGAUUCCUGAUUCAGCUGAAGUCCAUGGAAAUCCUUAACCUGUGAGCAGGAUUUCACACUGAGCACAUUUGUACAAGUUACUGAAAUACAGUACCCAACUAACUCAUUAUCAUGUAAAUCAGCAUGGAUAAUGAUGAAGUAAGAGAUGAUUAAUAAGCAUUGGCACAUUUUUUUAACAUUACUCACAGGUAGGAAAGCUUUGUUGUUUACUGAGUCAGUAGUUGAGCUGCAGGAAAGCAGCUGUGUGGGAAACGCAAUGAGCUUCAGUUCUGCACUGUAACUCCUGCUGGACUUCGUCCCCACCGCGUUUCCAUGACUCAGCGCACUCUGUGCUGUUCCAGAAAUCCUAAAGCACAGCCAAGAAGUUCCUUCCAAAGAUUACCUUGUUAAAGUGAAAAUACCCGUCGUAUCACCUGCCCUUCAGGUCUCAACUGACUGCAGGUUGUUGUAUUGCAGGUCAGGGCAACACAGGAGUUUUCCAGUCGACUCUUAGCAUACAGAAACCAAAAUCGCUUCAUCAGACUUCCCCUCUGCCUCUUCUGUGGGUUCUGCAGCAGCAAUGUGGUCCCAUGACAUCCAGAGUCGAUUUCUGGACCUACGUGAAGCACAACUAUACAUAAAGUGUUCUACCUUUCUCUGUCAGUUUGUUUCACUGCUGACUCACAGAAGGACAUCCCCGGCGUUGUAAGACUGCAUUUGUAGCCACCAUGACAGCAGUCAAAUCUGAGCUGCUCUUGGGUAGUAUGUUGUAGUUGUAGGGUGCCUAUUCUAAAUGCCAGCAUUCAGGAAGUAGUUUCCAAAAGUAAAAAGAAGUCUGAAGUGCUGAUCAGCAAAUUUGAUACUGAGCAGUUUCCCUCACGGACACCAGUAGCGGGUCAAUCACUGUGUGCUCCCUCCACAAUCCAAAGUUUGUUCCACCAAAUUCAUCAACAGAAAAUAAUCAAAAGCUGCUCUUAGGUUUGGCACAGGUUCUUUGAUGGAUGACUACUAGACCUCUCCUUUGCAGAGAGCCCUCAGUAGAAGCCAGAUGUGAAUUGCCAUAAAAACUCCACAAUAAUAUAAAAAAAAUAUAUAAAAAAUUCUCCACAAUCUCAGAACUGUUUAAAGAUGUGGAGCACAGUAUGUCUGAGCCCUUUAGAUGCCAUAUUACUAAGCAAUAUUAAAUGUCUAUGUGUGUAAUAGUUUCCCUCUCACGGUAUUGCAUUAAGGAUGAUCAGCAAUUCAGACCUUGCUGUAGGUUCAAGAAACACAUCUGCAACAUUCAUCAUAGGUAAUAUUGUUGGUGUGCAGAUAAGCAGCAGAAUAUUUUACCCAACUGUUCGUGAUCAGGGAAGAUGGGAUAAAGACUAAAAAUAAUGCCAUUUCUCCACCUCCAUGGCUGACCCGAUGAGAUGUGCUCAUGAGAUAAGGCUUUGCAUCAUCGUUUAUGUAAAUGCCGUUCGCUGCUAAGGGAGUGAUGCAGUUUGCUGCUUCAUAGAGAAGAAGUCAUCCAAGCGUAGUUCUAUUUUUAGCUCUCUAAGGACAUGGCACGCAAAUGGCAUUUUCCAGAGGUGAUUUGUUUUGUUUCCAAGUUUCUGCUUAUGGCCAAAGCUUGAAAAAGAACAGUAUGGAUUCGCAAUCUAAAUUCCUGUAGCAGCUGCACACAAAAUCUCUCAGUGUUGCAUUUCAUACCUAACCUAAAACAUACCUGUAGCUUCUGUUAAUGUUAGACUUCGUUAGCUUGGUCAAAGAUCUGUCCAUUCCAACCAAGCAUUUUGAAAACUGCUACCAUGAGACAAGCAACCAAGUGAAACACUAUUUCCUCUGCUGCCAUAUGACUCAUUGGCAUAGGGGUGCAGUCAGCUGGUGGCUGUCCUGAUGCCUUUUGGUAUUUCAGUUGAGGACAGUGGAGGUGAUUCUUCUUAUGUUUGUGUUCCUGAAAUCAAGUCUGUGGUACCACAGACGUUCAGUGAUGUGCCCAUCCCUGGAGGUGCCCAAG